GGAAACCGGCUCUGAGGAUCGCUGUGAGGCAGCAAAGGACUGGAGGUUCCAUGAUUUGGGGGCGCCUCUGCCGCAGGCCCUUUCUACCUGAGUGUUCUCUCUUCUGCAACACCCGUUUCAACCCCUUUUAAAGGAAUUGGGGGCUAGCCAGACUAGACUAGGGGCGGCGAAACGCACUGAAGGGAGUCGGAUACAGAAUUUCUUGCAAACGAGGUCAAGUCGUGUCUGGGAUACGGUAUCAUGCCCCACCCGCGCUCCACGACCCCGCCGGCCCCACCUUUCUUUUGCUUCGCCAGCAGAGACCGGCACGGCCUUCUUACGUGCAUUUGAAAUUACCUAAGGGCGUAAGCAAUAUUUCCUCUGUCACGGAUUAAAACUUUCGACGUAACGGUGUUA
rnacentral:antisense_RNA from 1 species